AUGAUUGUGUGCAUCCUCCAACCAUCACAUCCAUCCUGCAACCGUCAUGGGCAUCCUCCAGCCAUCACAACCAUGCUCCAACCAUCACAUCCAUCCUGCAACCAUCAUAUCCAUCCUCCAAAUAUCACAUCCAUCCUGCAACCAUCAUAUGUGUCCUGCAACCAUCAUGGGCAUCCUCCAACCAUCACAACCAUGCUCCAACCAUCACAUAGAUUCUGCAGUCAUCACAUCCAUCCUGCAAUCAUCACAUCCAUCCUCCAACCAUCACUUGCCUUCUCCAGCCAUCACAUCUAUCCUCCAACCAUCAUAUCCAUCCCGCAACAAUCAUGUGUCCUGCAACCAUUGUGUGUGUUCUGUAAACAUCACGCACAUCCUCCAACUAUCAUGGUCAUCCUGCAACCAUCACAUGCAUCCUCCAACCAUCACAUCCAUCCCACAACCAUUACAUGCACCCUCCAACCAUCACAGACAUCCUCCAACCAUCAUAUCCAUCCCGCAACCAUUACAUGCACCCUCCUGCAACCAUCACAGACAUCCUCCAACUAUCACAUCCAACCUCCAACCAUCACAUUCAUCUUCCAACUAUCACAUCCAACCUCCAACCAUCACAUUCAUCUUCCAACCAUCACAUCCAACCUGCAACCAUCACAUUCAUCCUCCAACCAUCACAUUCAUCCUCCAACCAUCACAGACAUCCUCCAACCAUCACAUCCAUCCUCCCACCAUCGUGUGCAUUCUCCAACCACCCAGGCCUGGCCUAGGGAGAGCACACAAGUCCUGUGCCCUGGAAGGGGGCAGGAGGGGCCCCAAGGAUGGAAGGCUGUCGUUGGCCCUGCACAGUGCACGAGAGGUUUCAUCUUUGUUAAAGCCUCCAGGCAUGCUCUUAAUGUUACCCCUCUAAUAAUAAUAUUUCAUCUGCCUUAUCUGAUUAGGUUAGGCUCAUUUGAUUUUUGCAAAACACCUUUAAUCACCUUGCAAAUUCCCCAUCAUUACAAACAGAACCACCACAAACAUUAUCGGCAAUCUGAGUUUUAUUUUCAGCAAUCUUUUUUUUUUUUCAUGUGCAAGAAAGACAGUUGUAAAAAAAUAAUUUUAAAAAUAUGA
rnacentral:lncRNA from 1 species